AGACCUGUUUAUUCCAUGUUAGCGAUGAAAAGAAAUCCAUGGUUUAGUUGAUUUCGUUACGGGCAAGCACAUAUGGAAACAAAUUUAAUCUCUCUUAAUUGAAGAAAAUAGGGGCUUGCAGCCAACAAAUAUGUCUACCCCUUCGAAUUGCUCUUCAUUGGCUAUUGCGAUCAGGAAAUGUCUUCGAUUAGCUCUUCAUUGACUAUUGUCGUAGCUGAACAAUGCUCUUUUUCUUAACCUAUUGGAUCCGACCCCAUGUUUCUUUAGAGAACAUAACAUAAUUACAAUAACAUCAGCAUGAAAUUUACAACCAGGCAAACACCUCAUUUCUUCAUAGCAAGCAACAUGAAGUUCAUCUUUCGCAGGAAAAGUGCAUAAGACAUCCAUAUUUCCACUGACUACAAAGUGAACAAAUUCAAACAAACUUGACUCGGUUAGUAGCAUGUUGCACAUGUUAUAUUCAUAAAAAUUCUAUCUUCAUUUGAUCACGAACUACACAAAAAAUCACAUAGAGUAGCUUCCAAAUAUGACAUAGAAGCUGCAGCUGCGUACCAACUGAAUAUUGAAGGAGAUUUAUCCUUCUUUACUGUUUAUUUUUGGCACGACAAUCCAAAAUUUUAGAUGUAGAAAGUUGGAUGUUGGUUUUACUACCAUUUUUAUACUUUAACCACCAUUAAUGCAAACCAAAAUGUGUAUCUUUCAAUAAUCAAAAACAACAAGAGCCAGUGUGCAUCUAUUCUUUCACCCACAGAAAUAAGGUCUCAGUUUACAACUAUUUUCGAUGCAUCAAGAUUCAAAAGUUAAAGUAAACUACAGGGCUAAUAUAACCAUUCCAUACACUAAGAAUAGACCACGAAAGACAUAGAAGCACAGAAGCACAACGAGGGAAACUGCUUACAUUUAAAUCAUCACAAUAAGCUCUUGAGAUUUCUUAUGGCCACCAUAAGUUUUUGAAGUGGCAGAUCAGCCCAACGGAAGUGGACAGUGUGUGUCGGCCCCAGAGCCAAGCAGCCUGCCUCGCUGGCUAGUGCUAUUGCCGCUCUCGUCCUCUCAUCGACGAAGGCGACGACACUCAUAGUAGUCCAGUACUUAUAGUGAAAGCAAGUGGUAUUCUAAACAGUAUACUGAAAUCUGAAUUUAGUGGGUGGCAUGUAUGUAUAGACAACCUAGCUACUCCAGCUUCAAAAGAAUCAAAGUUCCAACUCUAGAACACAGAUGACCAUUACAGACCACUUUUCAGUACCACCAUUCUGGCCUUACAAUCGCAUGGCAACCAAAUUGGUACUCCUGGUUUUUUCAAAGCAACUACUCUACGGACCCUUCAUAGACACAACUCAAAUAACCGGGUGGGCCAACGUUAGAAAAAAUUACCAUUAUCUAUUUCUAAAAGAUAGAUGAGCAGUAUACCUAAUUAUUUUAGUCAGCCAACAAUUUUGUACCAGAUGCAAUCUUCAAGUAUAUACUGGGGCCAACUUAUUUUGUUGAUACUAAGAAAUGUAAAAAGAAGCUAGAGUAGCAAAGGUAUAGAGGUUGUACCAGUCAGUGAAUCUGCACUAUUUGGGAGAGCGUCACACGGAUCCAGCUAUCUCUAGUCAGAGACGCACCAAAGUCUGACCUGACAACCCCUCUUUUCUUCUUUAGCAAAGGAAAGCUCCAUAAGAAUUGAAUAACUUGAAAUAAAUAAGCGACAAUUAAAUGAGGCAACUAAGGAAAAAACUUAAUUUUUUGUAUGCCUUCUUUUUACUGAUGGUAAAGCCGAGAAUACUUCCAGUCACCGCGGACAAAGUAAAACAAGACACAUAUUACUGAAUGUACUUAUAUGUUCUAAAAGAAAAUACUAAAUUAAGAAGAUAGUAUAUUAUGGUGUCCCUACUACCUACUAUGUAAUCUCUACUGAUGAGCAGACGCACUACAAAGAUCCAAUCUUUUGUGCCAGCUUAUCUCAAUUUAGGCAAGUGUAGUAGGAAAAAAAUGAAGAGAUUAAUACACAAAAUAGCCUGUAGUUUAAAGAAUCAAAUUCAGAACAUAACUUCCAGCUAUAUCUUCAACAAAGAAAUUUAACUUGAACAUCAGAAGGGAAUUUAUUGCUAUACCUAUAGGCUUUUAAUCCCUGUACAGCUAGUGCAGAGCAGUCACUGCUUUAAUUUCUUCCCUGUCCCAACUCCCUUUGCACCACCAAAGUUUCUUAAUUUCAAGGUGUGUAUAUACAGACAAUUUGACUGUCCAUGUGAAUUUAAAGUACACAGAUAAAGAUACAAGAGAAGAUGCAUCACCUAUUGUUCUUGGGGAUCUGAAUCUGAUCAUCCUUUUCUUCAGAAUCAAGCGAAGAAGCAUCAGCCUGACCAUUAGGGGUGGCCUGAAUCGCAAAACAAAAUGGAUCAGGAAGCAAAGAUGUGUAUAUACAGCUUGGCUGCUUCGUCAGACUGGAGCACAGGUUCCUAUGGUAUAGAUUUGAGUAAAGUGUGCCGAU
rnacentral:lncRNA from 1 species